CAUUACCGAGUGCGGGCCCUCUGGGUCCAACCUCCCAUCCGUGUCUAUCUGUACCCUGUUGCUUCGGCGUGGCCACGGCCCGCCGAAGACUAACAUUUGAACACUGUCUGAAGUUUGCAGUCUGAGUUUUUAGUUAAACAAUAAUUAAAACUUUCAACAACGGAUCUCUUGGUUCCGGCAUCGAUGAAGAACGCAGCGAAAUGCGAUAAUUAAUGUGAAUUGCAGAAUUCAGUGAAUCAUCGAGUCUUUGAACGCACAUUGCGCCCCCUGGUAUUCCGGGGGGCAUGCCUGUCCGAGCGUCAUUGCUGCCCUCAAGCACGGCUUGUGUGUUGGGCUUCCGUCCCUGGUAACGGGGACGGGCCCAAAAGGCAGUGGCGGCACCAUGUCUGGUCCUCGAGCGUAUGGGGCUUUGUCACCCGCUCCCGUAGGUCCAGCUGGCAGCUAGCCUCGCAACCAAUCUUUUUAACCAGGUUGACCUCGGAUCAGGUAGGGAUACCCGCUGAACUUAAGCAUAUC
rnacentral:rRNA from 1 species